rnacentral:rRNA from 1 species
UGCCAGCAGCCGCGGUAAUACGGAGGGUGCGAGCGUUAUCCGGAUUCACUGGGUUUAAAGGGUGCGUAGGAGGGCAGGUAAGUCAUGUGAAUUCGACUUACUUGAACGCGUGAUAUAUUUCUGAUAUGUGAGUGAGCGGAAUAUUUCAUGUAGCGGUGAAAUGCUUAGAUAUGACAUAGAACCCCCAAUUGCGAAGGCAGCUCGCUACACAUAUAUUGACUCUGAGGCACGAAAGCGUGGGGAUCAAACAGGAUUAGAUACCCUGGUAGUCCACGCCCUAAACGAUGGAUACUCGACAUACGCGAUACACAGUGUGUGUCUGAGCGAAAGCAUUAAGUAUCCCACCUGGGAAGUACGACCGCAAGGUUGAAACUCAAAGGAAUUGACGGGGGCCCGCACAAG